AGUGAACGCUGGCGGUAGGCCUAACACAUGCAAGUCGAACGGCAGCACAGUAAGAGCUUGCUCUUACGGGUGGCGAGUGGCGGACGGGUGAGGAAUACAUCGGAAUCUACUUUUUCGUGGGGGAUAACGUAGGGAAACUUACGCUAAUACCGCAUACGACCUACGGGUGAAAGCAGUGGAUCUUCUGACCUUGCGCGAUUGAAUGAGCCGAUGUCGGAUUAGCUAGUUGGCGGGGUAAAGGCCCACCAAAGCGACGAUCCGUAGCUGGUCUGAGAGGAUGAUCAGCCACACUGGAACUGAGACACGGUCCAGACUCCUACGGGAGGCAGCAGUGGGGAAUAUUGGACAAUGGGCGCAAGCCUGAUCCAGCCAUACCGCGUGGGUGAAGAAGGCCUUCGGGUUGUAAAGCCCUUUUGUUGGGAAAGAAAAGCAGCAGGUUAAUACCCCGCUGUUCUGACGGUACCAAAAGAAUAAGCACCGGCUAACUUCGUG
rnacentral:rRNA from 1 species